AAGACAGAUAAUUAAUUGAGCUAAGAGCCAGGUAGAAUGGGCAAUACAAAAGAUAAAUGUUGUUUUACAACAACCGUAAAACAUAACAUGGACUUGGUCUACAUAAUGAUUCCCUAGCAAUGGCGCCAAGGAUGCUGUCAAUAUUAAAAACUAAAAAGAAAAAAGAACUCUGAGCCCUCAGGAAAGAGAACCAAGAAUUUGCAGACAAUUUAAAAUACCAUACCACCAUAUAAGAGAGAAAAGCCUGGUUAACCUAAAUUACAGACAAUUUAAACUAUCCAGAAAAGCAAUUACAUGAGCAUUCAUUCCAGAAAUUUCAACACAUUUCUUAUCAUAACUUACAACUUCCCUUCAAAUGUAAAACACAUUGUACUAAGUUGGGGAAAGCAGCAAACUUACAUUACACUCAUGGACAUUAUCUGACGAGCAAGACCUGGAUCUUGGUGCAAAAGCUCCCUCAAGUUGUUCUCUACCUCGGCCAUUUGCUUUUCCAAGUAUUCCUUUGAGGUCUGCAGUGAGGCUAUUGCAGUCUCACUAUCCUUUAGCUUCUGUUCUUGUUCACUCAUUAAAACAGACUUUGGCUCCAAGACAAACGUUCUCCCUAUAGAUUUGUAAGUAUUUGUAUCGUCAGGCAGUUGGCGCAACUCCUCCAAUGUCAAGUAAGCACGCUUCUUUUCUCCCUCCUUGGUUCGCAUCUGGUUUUGCACCUGCUUCAAUUUGGCAGUAGUUUCGAUCAUACAACUCUGAAUCUCUAAAAACGCAGUUCUAUUGGACUCAUCAGCCAUUGCAGAAAGGAGUGUUGUGAUAGUAAGGAAUUAACCGUUCAAUGUAAAUCCAAGGCCAAGAGAGCUAACCUAGCAGUUUUGUACACAUCGGGUCAGGAUCCGAUUCGAA
rnacentral:misc_RNA from 1 species